rnacentral:rRNA from 1 species
GACGAACGCUGGCGGCGUGCCUAAUACAUGCAAGUAGAACGCUGAAGAGAGGAGCUUACUCUUCUUGGAUGAGUUGCGAACGGGUGAGUAACGCGUAGGUAACCUGCCUUGUAGCGGGGGAUAACUAUUGGAAACGAUAGCUAAUACCGCAUAACAAUGGAUGACACAUGUCAUUUAUUUGAAAGGGGCAAUUGCUCCACUACAAGAUGGACCUGCGUUGUAUUAGCUAGUAGGUGAGGUAAUGGCUCACCUAGGCGACGAUACAUAGCCGACCUGAGAGGGUGAUCGGCCACACUGGGACUGAGACACGGCCCAGACUCCUACGGGAGGCAGCAGUAGGGAAUCUUCGGCAAUGGGGGCAACCCUGACCGAGCAACGCCGCGUGAGUGAAGAAGGGUUUCGGAUCGUAAAGCUCUGUUGUAAGUCAAGAACGGGUGUGAGAGUGGAAAGUUCACACUGUGACGGUAGCUGACCAGAAAGGGACGGCUAACUACGUG